AUUGAACGCUGGCGGCAGGCCUAACACAUGCAAGUCGAGCGGCUGAAGGGAGCUUGCUCCUGGUUUCAGCGGCGGACGGGUGAGUAAUGCCUAGGAAUCUGCCUGGUUGUGGGGGAUAACGUCCGGAAACGGGCGCUAAUACCGCAUACGUCCUGAGGGAGAAAGUGGGGGAUCUUCGGACCUCACGCUAUCAGAUGAGCCUAGGUCGGAUUAGCUAGUUGGUGGGGUAAAGGCCUACCAAGGCGACGAUCCGUAGCUGGUCUGAGAGGAUGAUCAGUCACACUGGAACUGAGACACGGUCCAGACUCCUACGGGAGGCAGCAGUGGGGAAUAUUGGACAAUGGGCGAAAGCCUGAUCCAGCCAUGCCGCGUGUGUGAAGAAGGCCUUCGGAUUGUAAAGCACUUUAGGUGGGGAAGAAGAGCAGUAAGUUAAUACCUCGCUGUUUUGACGUUACCAACAGAAUAAGCACCGGCUAACUUCGUG
rnacentral:rRNA from 1 species